AAAUGGUGAUGCUGAAAAUUAAACUGAGGAACCUGAUUUUUACCAAUUCUCAAGUGACAAUUGAAUUAAUCAAGCAGAACUGAGCAGCCUUCAUUAUAUUGCUGGUUACUGCAUAAAAAGGUUGAAAAGUCAAAUAAUCAUUGUAUGUUUCAUCUUCAAACAAUAGAGAGCAACCAGUCAACACAGACAGAUCCCUCUCAAAGGUUCACUCAAUCAAAAGAAUAUAGAGAAAACUGCCUAGUUUAUAGCACCGAUGCCUGCUUCAGUUUAUUUCAGAAUGCAGAAAAUAUUGUUAGGGCAAAUGAAAAUAGUUUUGGAAAUUAGAGCAAUUUAUUAGGACGACUAGUACCUUUGGUAAACACUCGGACAUAAAAAUAUAACCUUUCCUUCUUGCCAUGACAUGAAGGGUAGACCCCUGAAGCUUUUUUUUUCACUUUAAGAUUACAUAUUUAUGCUAAAAAACAAGAGAAUAUUUGUAAGGCUCGGUCGUAAAAAUCAAAAGGCAGUGAAUUAGGGAGUAAGAGUAUAAUGAUGUGAAAAGCUAUAAUGAAUAUGGGUAAGCACCUAAUUUUGAAACCAUGUAUAAUAUUUUAUAAUACUUUUGUAUUUUAAAGGUGUAACUGUAACAAAGUUAUAAACUAUCAUUAGUAUAUUAAUAAACAUCUUAAUGGUUGAUAGAAACCUUAAGUUAAUAAUCAGCAGCAUAUGAUAAAACAGAGAGAGAAAAAGAGAAGAGCUGAGACAUCGCUCAGGCGGAUGAGUACAGCUGAACAGGACAGGAGCAAGAUGGCACCCUGUCAAAAGGUUGGCCAAACUCUCUCUAUAUAUGGCUCUGGUCAGUCAGUACUAUAUGAGAUAGGAUGAGAUAUGAUGAAUAGGAGAUGGAGAUUGCUGAGACAUGUCUCUCACCAAAUUCCUUGGGAAAGAGCACAUUACAGUGUCAACUUGGCUUCUUUGGGUGCCAUAAGAGUUGGAAGACCCAAACUUACUUGGAUGAUAGUUGGUAGAAAGGAGGCUGGAGAAGUGUGGAGAUUUAAAACUUCAAGCGUCCAUUGCAUCACAUGGCAUUGGAGGUGAUAAUGAUGAUAGAAUAUAUUUAAAGUGCCCAAGUUUCUUAUUAGAAAGGUUGAUGUUGUGGGUUUAGAUAGGUUGGUUUUUUUAUUUUGAGGCCAAACCAAAAAAUACUAAAGGUAACUGGUGAAAGAUGCUGGUGUGUAAAGUCCUUUGAAAGGCCGUUUAAAUAUUGAUUUUUUAACUAGAAAGGUUAGGUUUGCUUUGAAACUUGCAGCGUAAUGCUAUGUAAGUCAGUGGUUUGUUUAAUUUAAAAACAUUUCUUCUUUUCAGUCUGGGGGUGAGCUUGAAAAUGCAGAGCAACUUGGAGCUACUAUAAUGAGCCUGUUGUCUUGCACCAGUAAAUCUCAGUUAUGGCCAGGAGAUUCUGGAGAAGCUUUCAAAAAAAUAUCCAUUACCUAUACUGACCACAGUUACGUCGUUUGUCUAUCUAAUAAGAAUAUCCAUGUUGUAAAGCGUAAAUUUAUGCCAGUUGACCCAAUAAAGGUUUGAUUUUCUACUUUUAAGGUUUGUACAGUUGUAAUAUUUGAAAGUAAAGCCUGUGAUUUUAUUAUUAUGCAGUUUAACAGUACAACUUAUGACUACCUGUAUUAUUUCAAAGUUUCUAUUAUAAAGCCACCUGUAGCAAGUUUAAUAUUUUUGUCUGUAUACUUGUUCUGAAAUUUUUGGUAACAGUAGUAAUGAAAUUUAAAAAGAAAAAAUCCUUUCAAUACCUAAUGUAUAUUAAUUUAGAUUCUUGAUCAUGGUUUAAUAUAUGGACGUUAUUGUACAUAUUGGUUUGUGGUUAUCUUGCCAAUAAUGUUCAUGUACACAAAUGACUCAAAUCUCAAUUUUUCAUUGAUAAUGUAAUUUCAGGAAAUAUUUUUUUUCAUUUUAGGAUUUGAACAGUGCGUACAGUAUCAUUUGUAUGAGAAUCAAGUCUGUACAUAAAAAAUGGCAUUUAUUGAAGCAAACACAUUUGAUAACUGUCACUCUGUACACCUAAAGAUUGUAAGUUUUCUGUAUUUAAAGUACAGUGGAAGCUCAAGUAGUCAAGUAAAUGUAUUUAUGCUUGCCUGUAUUACGGCUUUGAAGAUGAUUUUAUUAAAAUAUUAUUAUUAUAAUUAUGUUUAUGAUUCAUAUGUUUGUUUUAUGCCCAUUUGAUUAAGGGAGAAAUUAAAUAAACUUUGCUUAGUACAGU